AUUGUGUGUUGGUUAGGUGACACUACCUUGAGGUAUGCCGGAUUCUAUUGGGAAUGGUGCGGAAGUGGCGUCUAGGCAUUUAACCAUGAAUUGUCUAUUGGUUAGGUAGGAUUUUAGGAUGGAGUAGUAGGGGUGAGGUAGGAUCUUUUUAAAAUGUAUAAUAGCCCUUCAUGCCAUACCUUGUCGAAUGCCUGUUGGAUGUCUAGGAAAACCGCUGAGCAAUAUUUUUUCUUUUCGAGUUGGCUGAUCGUAUGGGUUAUGCGAUGGAUUUGCCCUACUGUUGAAUGUUGUUUUUGGAAGCCGAAUUGGUGAUCUGGGAGUGUUUUCAAGUUCUCUAGGAGUGGGAGGCGUCGAUUCGUGAGCAUCUUCUCGAAUAGUUUAGACAGGGUAGGUAAAAGACUGAUUGGGCGAUAGGAACUGGUUUCGUAUAUCGGUUUACCGGGUUUAGGGAUGAGGGUAAUCAAUGAGAUUUUCCAGGCCUU